rnacentral:lncRNA from 1 species
CUGUCUUCAGGAAUAUGUAUUACCUGAAAGCAGAGAGCAGUUGUUGCAUUGGAUCAUUCAGAGAGUAUGCAGCCACAACCAUGCCUUAGAUGUGUGUAAUUCAAGUGGAGAAGACACAAGCCAGUGGUUGCAAUAUCAUCAACACUUGAGUGUUCUGUAAUCGAUUAAUGUUUGCCAUGUGCAAGGAAAAGGCAGAGGCAAAAUGGCGUCGGCUUAUGGAAAAAUAAUUUACAAAAAAAAUGAUGGGAUAGUUCUGCCAAAUUUGAGUGAGUGAAAAAACGAGAAAACUUAUUCUGUUAGAGCCUGAGAAAAGGAAGGAAAGUCAGUCCAACAGUGAGUCUAGCCUCAUUUAUUCCAGGAUUGGUGUCAGCAGAAAACCAACAACGAUGUGGUGGCACACAGUGAACUGACCAGACCCAGGCAGCAGUGGCUCUUUUGGUGGCAAUGGUGCCAAGUCACAGGUACUCUCCUUGCUAAUGGCAGAUACCAACAGGCAGACUAUUGCCUGCGUUUAGCUCUGUUAACCAUUGACAGUGAGACAAUCAUGUCUUCAGUGUUCAUACCUCUUAAAGAUCUUGUCUGUAACACAAGGGCAUUUGAAGAGCAGUGGUUUAAGAC